rnacentral:rRNA from 1 species
GGCGAACGCUGGCGGCGUGCCUAAUACAUGCAAGUUGAGCGAUGAAGCUUGGUGCUUGCACCAAUUUGAAGAGCAGCGAACGGGUGAGUAACGCGUGGGGAAUCUGCCUUUGAGCGGGGGACAACAUUUGGAAACGAAUGCUAAUACCGCAUAACAACUUUAAACAUAAGUUUUAAGUUUGAAAGAUGCAAUUGCAUCACUCAAAGAUGAUCCCGCGUUGUAUUAGCUAGUUGGUGAGGUAAAGGCUCACCAAGGCGAUGAUACAUAGCCGACCUGAGAGGGUGAUCGGCCACAUUGGGACUGAGACACGGCCCAAACUCCUACGGGAGGCAGCAGUAGGGAAUCUUCGGCAAUGGACGAAAGUCUGACCGAGCAACGCCGCGUGAGUGAAGAAGGUUUUCGGAUCGUAAAACUCUGUUGGUAGAGAAGAACGUUGGUGAGAGUGGAAAGCUCAUCAAGUGACGGUAACUACCCAGAAAGGGACGGCUAACUACGU